UUCUGAGGAAUUCUGCCGGAGGCGCGGAAGCUCUGGGGUUUGCGGGGUAGCGACGGCCACACCGGCCGGCUGGCGGUGGGUCUCGGAGUCAUUUUCUUCCACAGUCAAGUGUCCUAGAGCCGUCAUCUUGCUUCAGGAACGUGAACCCUCCCUCUUAUUUUAGUGACCCACAAACGAAUACCCCGCAGGGAAUUUUUUCAUAACAAAAUUUUGGGACGAUAAAGGGAGCCAUCUUCUGGAAGAAACUGGUAUUACUGAUGGGCUGAAAAAGCUCCAGGCCCAGAAAAGCAGUGAAACC